AAGAUGGCCGGAGAGGCAGCAGCAAGCUCAGCUGUCAGGCGGCCUGCCGCGGCCCGUGGGCUCGCCGCUGCGCUGGGAGCGCUACCCCGGCGUCCUGGAGGGCUCUGGGAGAGCGGGGAGGCCGCGGCUGGGGCGAGGCGGCCGCGCGCGAAUGUGGGAGCUCGCGGCCGGAGCGCCCGGGGAGGCCGGGCCCACGACGCCCGUGGCUCCGCUGCGGCAGCGGCGGUGCUGGUGGCGCGCGCGGCCGGGAGGCGGCUUCGCGCCGUGGGCGGGAGGCUGCGGCGGGCGACCGGUCCUGGACACGCGAGGAAGAGCGAGCCGAUGGCGCCAGCGGCCGCGCUUCGACCCGGUAACUUACAAGAUGAUAAUUAAUGUGGUUGCCGAUGAUUCUGAAUAAAUACAGCUUUUAUCUCAGGUGUGCCAUUUUGAAGACUGAGACCAUAGAGUUUUAAGAAUAAAGGAGAGAGCCCUUGGGAAAUUCUGUAUUAUAUAUAGCAAGUAAGUUUUUUUAAUUGUUAUAUUUGAAUAUUUGCCAACAUUUGGGUAGGAAUAUAUCAUUAAAGCUGUUGGUCCGUGUAUAUAUAAAAA
ensembl:processed_transcript Chaserr RIKEN cDNA 1810026B05 gene